rnacentral:rRNA from 1 species
CCGGCGACCGGCGGACGGGUGCGUAACGCGUAUGUAACCUACCUUUGACAGGGGGAUAACAUCGAGAAAUUGGUACUAAUACCCCAUAACAUCACCGGAGGCAUCUUCGGUGGUUGAAAACUCAGGUGGUCAGAGAUGGACAUGCGUUGUAUUAGCUAGUUGGUGAGGUAACGGCUCACCAAGGCGACGAUACAUAGGGGGACUGAGAGGCCAACCCCCCACAUUGGUACUGAGACACGGACCAAACUCCUACGGAAGGCAGCAG